AAAGCAAGAACACCUGGAUUUCCUUCAGCACCGUGGCUCAUCCCUGAAACACAAAUAACAUCUGGUACUCUAUCAGCAUGCCCACAGAUGGCUAAAACGCCAGGCUUUCCCUCUUUAGUUCAAAGCAAAGUUGAUAAGACUUUGGUAAAUAAUUGGCUUUUUAAGGAGAAAGCUCUUUGUAUCAGGUGUCUGCCAGUAUACACAUUUGACAAGCUAGACAUUGCUUAUCAGGACAAAGAGAGUUUUAAAGGAAUGUAUGCUAUUUUGCCAAGUUGUCCAGUGAAAGCAAGUGUCCCAGGCUUUCCAUCUGCACCAAAGCCCAAAUUAAUGGUUUAUCUUUUCGAUUCCUUCCCAACAGUCUCAAAUGUACCUGGGAUGCUAUCAAGCAUAAUAUCUGAGGUGGAAUUACAGUGGCCUGUAAAUGAAAGGCCAUUAUGGGUAAAACAAUUAAACAGAAAGGUUCAGUCCAUACAUGCUGUUCCUCCUCACUACAGAGAAAUAAAGGAUAAAGCCUUCAUUAAGCAUAUGGUAGCUUUACGCACAACUUGUGCAAUCAGUGCUAAAUUGCCUGGCUUCCCAUCUGCUCCAAGAAAAAUAACUGAGAAGAAAGCAUCAGAUAUGGUCUCCCUUGUGCCAUCUUGUCCACAUUUUUCAAAGGUAGUAGGUAUGCCGUCUGUUGACUUGGGAAAUGAAGCAAUAGAUUCAAGUGCAUGGCCUCUGGAUGCAAAGCAACUGUACAAGAGGUCCUCAAAGAACGAGUCCGAUAUGAUGUAUUCUUCAUUGAAUCAAACAUGUGACGACCAUCUGAAUUUCGACAUAGAAGACAUGGCUAUGAUUACGCCAUCCUGCGCAAAGCAAUCCAAUAUCCCUGGUUUUCCAUCCACAUAUUCAGAAUCUCCACAUACGCUUUAUAAUGCAAAUAAUACCCAAACAUCACCAAAAGAUGUUGGCCAUAAACAAGUAACUUCAACUGUGCUUAGUCCAGCAGAUACUGAGAUAGACCUGUCCAGUUCAAACAAUUUUGACAAUAGUAUUGCAUUAGAGAAGGCCAAGGAGAAUGUGAACUUUUGGGCAAGAUGUGAG
ensembl:lncRNA